rnacentral:rRNA from 2 species
UAGGGAAUCUUCGGCAAUGGGCGAAAGCCUGAUCCAGCAAUGCCGCGUGCAGGAUGAAGGCCUUCGGGUUGUAAACUGCUUUUGUACGGAACGAAAAGACUCCUUCUAAUACAGGGGGUCCAUGACGGUACCGUAAGAAUAAGCACCGGCUAACUACGUGCCAGCAGCCGCGGUAAUACGUAGGGUGCAAGCGUUAAUCGGAAUUACUGGGCGUAAAGCGUGCGCAGGCGGUUAUGUAAGACAGAUGUGAAAUCCCCGGGCUCAACCUGGGAAUUGCAUUAGUGACUGCAUAGCUUGAGUGCGGCAGAGGGGGAUGGAAUUCCGCGUGUAGCAGUGAAAUGCGUAGAUAUGCGGAGGAACACCGAUGGCGAAGGCAAUCCCCUGGGCCUGCACUGACGCUCAUGCACGAAAGCGUGGGGAGCAAACAGG